rnacentral:rRNA from 1 species
UACGAAGGUGGCAAGCGUUGUUCGGAUUUACUGGGCGUAAAGUGUGCGCAGGCGGCAGAGCAAGUCGAGUGUGAAAGCCCCGGGCUUAACUUGGGAAUUGCGCUCGAAACUACUUUGCUGGAGUGUGGCAGAGGAAGGUGGAAUUCCACGUGUAGCGGUGAAAUGCGUAGAGAUGUGGAGGAACACCAAUGGCGAAGGCAGCCUUCUGGGCCAACACUGACGCUCAUGCACGAAAGCGUGGGGAGCAAACAGG